rnacentral:rRNA from 1 species
AGUGUAGGCGGCAUAGCAAGUUAGAUGUGAAAGCCCGCAGCUUAACUGCGGAACUGCAUCUAAAACUGCUGAGCUUGAGUGCAGGAGAGGUAAGUGGAAUUCCUAGUGUAGCGGUGGAAUGCGUAGAUAUUAGGAGGAACAUCAGAGGCGAAGGCGACUUACUGGACUGUAACUGACGCUGAGGCUCGAAAGCGUGGGAGCAAACA